UUUGGAAGGAUGUGAAAAAUACAAUAGAAUAUAACCCUGCUAUUCCAUUAGAGCAUAAAACUGUUGCAUGUUCUGUGUCUGAAGGUGCCCAUCCCACAUCUUUCCGAAAGAGGUCAAGCAAAAGACGACAUAACCUUAUAAUCAACUUCUGCGUGAUUAGCUACACGUGCUUGCUGUUGGAAAUCGAUUCGGACACUGUUUUGUGUCAGGAUUCUAGGCAGGAUGCCGUUGCCAAGGUGGGCAGUGACGGUGAUUUUCGCCACUAUCCCGGCAGCUACGUAUGGCUAUGUGCUAUACGCUCGACCUAACAUAUAUGAGCAGAUUCAAGAGGUGCGCCUUGCGUCGCAUUCGUGAUGAGGGCACGAUGUUAUCCGGAAACUGUUUCUAUUGCGGUCAAGUUUGCGGUGGUGGCCUUGGGCAUGCAGCUGCGCUGACUCUGGGAAUGCAUACUGACAUACGCUGUGGGGAUGUUAUACACACGGAAUUCGUUCAUUGGCUCGUCCUGUGUGGGUAUUGAAUUGAAACUUGUUUUACGCAGGAAAUCAAACGGCAAGAAGAACAGGAUCGAGCGGCUGGGAAGUUGCCAGCUCGUGCGUGAAAUCCUCAUACCUCAUACCAAUCGCGUCUUACAGGCCCGGGGGAUCCGGGGAAUAACUUGGGUAUCAUGCCGGCAUUUUACUACAUCAGGGCCCUAAAUUACAUAUCAAAACGUCGUGACACUCGUCAGUAUUUCGUUUCACACAGUCUGAUCCUUCAGCCCCUGGCUCCAGGACUUACUAAAUGUAACAGAACAUCGUCCUACACACGGUUACAACAAUCUCACGUUCACAGCACUGUGCAUGACUUUUCGCUUAGUUACACAAGGUGAUAUACACAAUCAACGCCCAAACCUAACAACGUCAUUCCACCAGAAGAUGCAUCACAUCUCCUCCAUAGCAGCUUCAGGCCUGGGCGGUGACUCCCUGCAUGAGUAGAAAUGGUGUGUUGACAAAAUUAACCUAUGUUAGAAUUUACCCGCGUACAAGACUCUAGUCAUCGGUCUUCGUGAGCAUUUGACAAGCCGCAGCUCAAGCUUGUGUAAUACCCCCUGAC
rnacentral:lncRNA from 1 species